rnacentral:rRNA from 1 species
UACGGAAGGGGGCUAGCGUUGCUCGGAAUCACUGGGCGUAAAGGGUGCGUAGGCGGGUCUUUUAAGUCAGAGGUGGAAAUCCCUGGAGCUCAACUCCAGAACUGCCUUUGAUACUGAGGAUCUUGAGUACGGGAGAGGUGAGUGGAACUGCGAGUGUAGAGGUGAAAUUCGUAGAUAUUCGCAAGAACACCAGUGGCGAAGGCGGCUCACUGGCCCGUAACUGGACGCUGAGGCACGAAAGCGUGGGGAGCAAACAGG